AUGAACGCUGGCGGCGUGCCUAAUACAUGCAAGUCGAGCGAACGGACGAGAAGCUUGCUUCUCUGAUGUUAGCGGCGGACGGGUGAGUAACACGUGGAUAACCUACCUAUAAGACUGGGAUAACUUCGGGAAACCGGAGCUAGUACCGGAUAAUAUUUUGAACCGCAUGGUUCAAAAGUGAAAGACGGUCUUGCUGUCACUUAUAGAUGGAUCCGCGCUGCAUUAGCUAGUUGGUAAGGUAACGGCUUACCAAGGCAACGAUGCAUAGCCGACCUGAGAGGGUGAUCGGCCACACUGGAACUGAGACACGGUCCAGACUCCUACGGGAGGCAGCAGUAGGGAAUCUUCCGCAAUGGGCGAAAGCCUGACGGAGCAACGCCGCGUGAGUGAUGAAGGUCUUCGGAUCGUAAAACUCUGUUAUUAGGGAAGAACAUAUGUGUAAGUAACUGUGCACAUCUUGACGGUACCUAAUCAGAAAGCCACGGCUAACUACGUG
rnacentral:rRNA from 1 species